rnacentral:rRNA from 1 species
AUUGAACGCUGGCGGCAUGCUUUACACAUGCAAGUCGGACGGCAGCACAGAGAAGCUUGCUUCUUGGGUGGCGAGUGGCGAACGGGUGAGUAACAUAUCGGAACGUACCGAGCAGUGGGGGAUAACUAAUCGAAAGAUUAGCUAAUACCGCAUAUUUUCUGAGGAAGAAAGCAGGGGACCAUUUGGCCUUGCGCUGGUUGAGCGGCCGAUAUCUGAUUAGCUAGUUGGUGGGGUAAAGGCCUACCAAGGCGACGAUCAGUAGCGGGUCUGAGAGGAUGAUCCGCCACACUGGGACUGAGACACGGCCCAGACUCCUACGGGAGGCAGCAGUGGGGAAUUUUGGACAAUGGGCGCAAGCCUGAUCCAGCCAUGCCGCGUGUCUGAAGAAGGCCUUCGGGUUGUAAAGGACUUUUGUCAGGGAAGAAAAGGGCGGGGUUAAUACCCCUGUCUGAUGACGGUACCUGAAGAAUAAGCACC